ensembl:snRNA U6 U6 spliceosomal RNA
GUGCUCACUUCGGCAGCACAUAUACUAAAAUUGGAACGAUACAGAGAAGAUUAGCAUGGCCCCUGCACAAGGAUGACACACAAAUUCGUGAAGCGUUACACACAAUG